ACUCAAAUGAAUUGACGGGGGCCCGCACAAGCGGCGGAGCAUGUUGCUUAAUUCGAGGCGACGCGAAGAACCUUACCUGGGUUUGACAUGUUGGGAAAAGCCGUGGAGACACGGUGUCCUUCGGGGUCCAGCACAGGUGGUGCAUGGCUGUCGUCAGCUCGUGUCGUGAGAUGUUGGGUUAAGUCCCGCAACGAGCGCAACCCUUGUCCUAUGUUGCCAGCACGUAAUGGUGGGGACUCGUAGGAGACUGCCGGGGUCAACUCGGAGGAAGGUGGGGACGACGUCAAGUCAUCAUGCCCCUUAUAUCCAGGGCUGCAAACAUGCUACAAUGGCCAGUACAGAGGGCUGCAAUCCCGCGAGGGUGAGCGAAUCCCAAAAAGCUGGUCUCAGUUCGGAUCGCAGUCUGCAACUCGACUGCGUGAAGCCGGAGUCGCUAGUAAUCCCGGAUCAGCUACGCCGGGGUGAAUACGUUCCCGGGCCUUGUACACACCGCCCGU
rnacentral:rRNA from 1 species